AAAUUUUUCCCUCAUUCGAGUUAUAAAUUUUGCCACCAGAUGGUGUAUGCCCUUCCCAUCUCGAGGAGGGGUUUUAGUCGGUAAGUGCUACGGCGAAUCCGACACUACCCCCCUUCAGGGGGUGUCUUUUGAAGAUUUCCCCUCCUCGAGGC
rfam:Agrilus planipennis Contig53482, whole genome shotgun sequence.